GUGGUCCGAAACCCAGAAUUUUUCUGUUUGUGCCAAGAGUUUCCCUUUCCAUGCAGGGCACCUUUACCCAAGGUUAGAAAAGCAGCCAACAGCUCCACGUGCAGGUGAUGCACUUUCAGUAACAACACAGACCAUCCACCUCCCAUCCACAGGAGCACCAAGCAAAGGUGUCUGCACAUUUAAUUGAGAUUAUGGUGGGAAUUAAUUAGAGGAUUAACAAUCUCCAAAAAUGAUGUCACAGGACAAUACCCAUAACUGCAGUAGAUCUUACAAAGGACAGUAAGACAAUUAAAAAAUGCUAUUGAAGAACACGUGGAUGAAAAGAAAACUACAUGGGGCACUUCUGGUAUGAGAUAGUCAUAAAGGAUGUUUUUCAGGCCCAAAAAUUCCUUUUCAGUUUGAAAAAGUAUGAGAUAUUUCAAAAUGUGUACAAAAAAUAGAGUGAAAUUAGUCUCAGGCAGACAAAAACAAGAGAAGGAGAAGAGUCAUCAGAUGUGUGAAGAGCCAAUCCCACAGGAACAAUAAAAAAAGAUGGAAAUUUAACAAGUAAAAGUCCUCAUAGUUUGUGCAGGUUGCCUUUUGUAAUUCAGUAGAAGUUAUUAUACUGCAAAAUUCAAGGGGAUAAAAAUUCAUUACAGCUCUUCUCUAUACCCUGCUCCAAGGACUCUUUGUCUAAAAGAACUGUAUUUUAAUCUGUUUGCCAAUGUUUUUCAAUACAAUUCUUUAAUACAACACUGUGUGGAGAAUUCCAGGCUAGAAGGAAUGUUUGGUGCAUUAUUUCCACUGCUUAGUUCUUCACCUCUUACAGCUACGCAGACAUAACAGGGCACAGGAAGAAAGCCCUUUCACAUGGAGUGUUAAUAAACUUUUAAUAAUGAAACAUUUCUCCAGGCAUCAAAUCCUGUCCCUGCUGAGGACACUGGAGUUUUACCAUUAACUUCAGUGCAACUGACACAGUAUCUCAGGCUAUAUAUUUCAUAUAAAUUACAUUGCCAUUAGACUUGAUUCCCAACAGAAAUUACAUUCAUAAAACUCUAAUACUCGUGACCUCCAAAACAAAUCUAAAUACUUUCUUCUUGCAUCCAUGCACACACACAGAUUUUUUUUUCCUCUUUAAGUACUACAGCAAUUAAGACAAAUUAUGGAGAUUAUUUUUUCUUCUUUUAGGCUUCCAUCAGGAGCUCCCCUUAUUUUAAAAGCUGAGCUUUGUUUUUUCUGAGCUUGGCACCCACAAACACAAGCCCUGUUGCAGAAAUGUGCACGGAGACAUGAGUUCAGCAGUCCUGCAGUGGCUCUGGAGAGGUUCAGCCUGGAACCUCCCUUCUUGGAAGAGGCCGAGCACACCCUCAGCUGGCUCAAUACCAAAAAAAAAGCAUUCUUUGUGCACAGAGCUGAAGUGCAUAAUUAAUCAUAUCUCGGUUUUGCCUACAUGCCAGGAAGGCUGGAUUUCCCCUUCCCAAUCUGUCUGCUUGCCUUGCCUGCUCUCCACUCACAGGAGUGUGGGGAAGGUACAGCCCCAGCCAACAUCAGUUGGUUUUUCUGUCAUACAAAGCCCACAAGUUCACCCAAAUUCAACUCAACAGCCAGGACUUGUCUGAGGUAAUGGCCAUCCUCACCCCCUUCUGUCCAAGCCACUGACCAAUGCACCCCAACUGCAACACAGGAAACCUCCUGGGCUCUGUGGAAACCCAGCACAGGUUUUGGGAGCCCAGAGAGCAUGACCGGCCUCUCCUGACUCAGCUUCAAAGCUUAAAGACAUUUUUAAAUGCUUUUAAUUGUGUGGAAUGGUGGAUCUAUCCAACAGAGAAAUCCAGGAACCAUGACCAGGGUCUUCCAGGCUGCGUCCCACCUCUCUGGUGCUGCCUGGUGAAGCCCCAGCCUGUCCAACUCGCAGCAGGCAUCCAGUGCGUUGGGGCUUUGCCCAUUAGGUGGUGGGAAAUCAAAAGGAUAUGUGCAAUGGUUAUUCUUUCAUCUUCAUGGCCCUUAAACUGCUUCUCUAGCUUAUGUCAAUGUGGCCACUUUGCUCUCUCAUGCGGGACACACCUUUUGUGCAAUGUGCCCCUGGGGGCUGCAGUGAUGGGUUAGCCAAUCAUACAGAGAGAAGAGGAAUUUGAUGAAUGGGUCAUUUUUGGUGCACUCUGCACUUUUGACUCAUAAAUUCCACAGAAAACAAGGUAAAUGGAGCAUAACUUAUUAAUGAACAGAGCCCUAAAUAUCAAAUGAUCUGCUCUGAAUCAUCAGCACGAAUUGCAGAGCCUUCACAUCACGUUGGUUAUCACAUGCUGCAGCAGUUCAGUGAUGGACAAACUCUGCAGCCUGGUGUUAAGUCAUACAAGAUAAUCUAGGAAAUAACAUCCUGCUUUCUAUAAAGCACGUUACAGAGAGGUGCUUGCUCGACCUUCAGACUGUGACCUCCAGAGACAGUGAUCCUGCCAGCCUCACCUUGCAUUGCAAGCCUGAAAGCACCAUUAAGCUCAUGAUGAAUUGCGAGCCUUGGGAAAGGCACAUGAACCCUAAAUCUCACCAGAAAGCUGGGGGAAAUUCAGACAGCUCUGAAGAGGAACAUCAAUGAAGUUUUUGUGAGAUAACUUAGGAGCAACAGCUUUCUAUCCUGCAUCACUUCUACACCUUCACUGAUGGGGAAAAAAUGGACAAUCCUUCCAGGUCUGAGGGUCUGCUAAUGUCCAGAUUAAGCCUGAAGAACCACACUGACUAUUCUGAGAGCACCACAGGGCAAGGUAAAAAAUAUGAAGAAUCUUCAAUUUCCUCCUUUCUAAAGGUCAUUUGGUUUUUUUCAGAGCUGAGAAAACAAGAAAAAAAGAAGGAAAGAACAAGGAAAAUUGUGCACCCAAGUAACUCUUCUCAAAUAAUCUCAAUGAGCCCGAGGAGCACUGGCAGAGAUAGGUGUGAGCCCACACAUGCUGGCACACACUGACUGUUCACAGCCACAAUGGAACACCUGGUCUGGGCAUUUUCCUCAUCACUGUUCUGCUUUGAAUUAAUGAGCUUGUUUCUAUGCUGUUUGGUGUCCUUGUCCAUGGCAGGGAGAUUGGAACAAGAUGGUCUUAAAGGUCCCUUCCCAAAUCAUCCCAUGAUUCUUCUUUCACAUUAACAUCUCUAAAUCUUCUGGAGUUAACUUUAGUGCUGUUUUCCAAUUUUCUUUCCUGCCUAAUUUUUCCUUAAGAGUUUUCAAACAUUUCAGUACAAGUCUGCCUCCUGGCACUCAGCUGCAGUUACGUGUGUGCUGUGGAACUAUCUUUAAAGGUUUUUUUUUUUUUUUAUUUGUAUUGACAGAAGCAAUAAUGAUAAAAAGUGUCCACUACUUUUAAAGGCCAUUUCUCCCUGUAUGUGUACAAAUAUGUCAUCUUUAAACUGUCAGACCUCUAAACAGGCUUGAAGUGAUUUUCUCCUGCAAAUGCACCUCUUUUUGCAGGGAUGGCCUAUCUGUGCUUUCCUUUCUUUCCUACACUUUUGCACGUUAUCUUGUUCAAACAAACUGCCAAAAUUUCAGCCAGCAGACAGCAAUUAGUACAUAGAAGCAAAAUGAACCACUACAGCUAGAUGCUGUGCCAUAGGCAAAAAAAUGCAAUAGAAAGCUACUUUAGCUGAAAUUGGUAUUUAAAACACCUUUCUACAAGAAGGCUACAAAGUCACCCUCUUAUUGACUACCCAUAAGGCUGCAGCUGCACCUGCCUGGUAGAGCAAUUUUCUAGAGACUAUUAAGCAAAGCAAAACCAGCUAGAUAGAUUAUUGCAAUCUCAAUGAAAGAGCAGCAAACCGAUAAAAAAAUUACCAUUGAAGUCAACAGAAAUAAGGACUUUCUAUCUACAAAAUAUGAAUUCCUGUCAAAGGGAGAUGAGGAAGCAUCUUCCUAAGCCAGAGCACAGUUACUCAAACCUACAUAUCCCCCUUACUGGUAUAAAGGCAUAUUGUAACUAAUAACAAAAAACCACACAAUAGAAGCCAGCACAAGGAAUUGAGAGAUUAGCGGCAAUUAACUCAGUAUAGAGAUACUUUACUGCCUAACUUAGUGAUUUUUAUACUACACUGAACCUUAGGUAGAUCUCCCUGGAGAUACUGUCACCACUAAAAGAAAAAAGGUCCUGCUCAUUUUGUCACUUUCAAGUGAAUUUCUCACAGGGGCCUGAGAAAACACACAGUGUUUCCUUAGCUAGCUUGGCAGAUGAGCAAGAUUUGCUGCUAAUUCCCAGUAUUGAUGUGCUGAAAGUGUUUUCUGCUGGAAACAUAAAGGAGCAAGGUAAGGCUAAAAUUACUCAUCUACUUGAAUAAUGUGUCCUGUUUACUUUGGUAUUCCCUUCCACAGCUGUCCCUGCCUUUGGCAGCAUCACCCUGACAGAAAGUAAAAUGCUGUUAAUGCAUUAAAUCCAACAGUGAGAUUACAUGAGCUGCCUCUCCAAGACAAAGUGUAUUAACCACUGAUAAAUUCCACUUCUCCUCAAAAUUAGAAUGAAAAAGUCACUAGCCAAUACUUUCAGGAAACAAAUUACAUCCCUAGAGCUAUCCAGUACCUGUGCUCUGUCCACAGAACACAUUGAGAGCCAAAGCCACGAGCAAGAAACUGGAUGUCAACUUACAGAGGGGAAACAAAGACUCAGGGAGACAAAGUACUCCCAACCCCAGACAAAACCCUCUUUACAUAAUAUCUGUUACCCUCAAAUACAUCCCUCCUCUCACGCCUAAGGCGAUAUACACUUGUUCAGGGACAGGGGGUUAGUGGAAGCCAGCAUAUCAAGAAAAAUAAAUAAAUAUCAAAACACACCAAAACACAACUGGUCUUAUUGCAAGUGAUCCAUCUCCUUAAAGAUCUCUUGGAGGUGGUAAAUUAUCAGAGAUGGCACCAGGGACAUUUUGCCAUUUCUCCUCAUGUAUAUUUUGGUGAUUUUGGGAGCACUCAGGUGUGCCAAGAUUCAUAUCCCUGGUCUGCUUCAAGGAUUACCUUCAUUCUUCAUUUGCUAGAUCAUGUCUAAAACACUAAAAUGCAGAUUUCAAUGGCAGCAGCAAAUGCUGCCUGGAUAGAUGUGGGCUGGUGAGAGCACUCCUAACACAGCAAUAUGGCAAAAUUCCUCUCCACUUCCCUUCAAUAUUGUCAAAGGUUUCACCACUCAACAUAACAAACAAACUUCGAAAAACAGUAUUACUUUUCUCCCCACUUUUGUAUAUAGGAUAAUGGCUUUUCAACAAGCCAAAUGGGAAAGUGUGUUAAUGUGUUUCCAUGGGCAAAGCUUGAGAACCCUGUAAAUUGCCUUGCUUAAUGGACUUAGGAGUUCAGCUAUCCAUUCAGAAAUUCCACAGCGAAUCAAAUGGUUCAGUCCUCAGGAAGUGCACACACAGCUCUGCAACUCUUUGUCAUUAUUUAUGUCUCUUGGAUUUGAUGGACAAAAUGUCAUUUGGGAUGAAGGAGGACCUGUAUCCACCACCCCUCUGGCAGAAAGGCACUAAGAGCCCUCUCACCCCAGGGACUGUGCAGAUGCCCUGUCCUUCAGGGCUCCACACCACCUCAAUCAGCACAGAAAAAGCAGUAACCUAAAGCACCUGCAGACUCUCUCAUCUGGCUCUAAACAUACUGUAAUGACCAACAGCUUGACUACUUUUUUAAGCUAUUAUGAAGAAAAUAAACUCAUUUAACUGUUGCCUCUGCCAUGGGCAGUGACUGCUCAGGACAAGGUUGAGGGUGAACAGGUUGUCCCUCACCUUUCCACAUGCCAUGCCAUGAACUCCUGAGCCUGGCAAAGCCACUGCUGAGCCAAGGAGCUCGAUGGGAGCAGAGGUUGUGCUGGUUUGGGGGAUGUGACCCCUGCAGAAGAGCAGUCUGGCAUUAACACCUCUCACCACUCUGUAAGCUGUUUGCCCAGGCUGAGACAGCCCAGACAAGAGCUUGUCCUCAGCCCAGGCUGGCAGAGGGGAAUAGCCCUGGCCACGCUCAUCCCUGCUCCAGGCAGCAUCCCUCACUCCUCUAUGAUGGGGUGAAAAUUUCAGUUUGCUGUGUCUUCUUUGGGGUUCAAAACAAACCAGAAUCCAAAGGUGAUGCUCUUCUCUCUGUUCCAGUUUUUUAAAUCCACUUUUAUUUAUUUAUUAAGCACAAAAUUGCCAUGAAAGCCCAUGGAUAGUCACUGUGGCUGGCACUGGCAGCCAGCUCAGGUUGGGCUCUUCUCAGCUCUGUGCACACCAGAGAUGAGGGUAUGAGCUGGUGGCCAUAGGGGGCUGCUCCCCAGUCCCCUCCACCUUCUGCUUCAUGUGCUGAGACCUGAGGAGAUCUAGACUCCUCAGUGUCUUUGUCCCACUCUGGGAUAGCCAGGCACACACCAGCCCAAGUUCAGCCCAGCCCACGCUGACUGUGACCCUGCAAACAAAUCCAUCCCAGCAGCACAGUCUGCCUGCACCAUGGGACAGGGUCUGCCUCACACCAAACACCCCAACCAGGGGCAGCACCCUGGGAACCCUCAAAGAGUGCAGGAAAAACAAGGAUAUUUUGAUCUGCAUGCAUGAAUUCUCUAGGAAAGGAGUAUAAAUAGAGGAAAGGGAAAAAAAAAAUAAAUCGGUGAGCCAAUGUCCUUUGCAACUUUUGUAAAGUAUAAAAUACAUCAGAGAGAAUAAGUUCCAGGCCUGAUUACUCCUGAUUUACAGAAAUGUGCAACCAUGGGGACACAUAUGUUAUGCUGAUAAUAAAAUAUACAUGGCUGCAGCUGGGACCUACAACAGAACUUAAACAUACUGAGAAUACUCAAAUCUUUUCCCUCCUGUGUACCUUAGCUGUUCAGAGGGAUUUUUUUUUCCACUCAAAAUUGAAAUGAAGGGAAAAAAACUCCACUUCUAGGAUUAGAUCCUAGAAAAACAGAUUCCAGCUGGGAGCUCAAGCACCUGCAGAGAAGUAUUUAUAAAUGAAAGGACUGACAUGACUUUAAAUACAGUGUCGUCAGAAAUUUAAUUAUGCAGCAGCAAGUCUCUAAUUGGAAGUCACAGAGCAGUAUAUUGGCUUUGUCAUGUGAUUUGAUACUCUCCAAACUGCUUUCCCAGGGUUGUUUGUGUUAUCUGUCUCAGGUUUGAACAGCAGUGUUUGUUUGCAGGCUGUGGUGGGAUUAGCCCUAUUUAUCUUCACGGGCUUUGUUUCCUUGAACACGGACUGAAUUCACAUGGAUUUGUUUCAGUGUUCCAGGAAAUCCUUGGCUUUUCUUUACCCAGCCCAGAGGCUGUGUUGUGAUGGCUGAAGCUAUCCUGGGCACCCAAAAAACUCCAUGUUCAAGUCAGCAUGUGUAUUCCACUAGCAAGAGGAGGGAAACAAGACCACCUACCUGUGAUAAAUCAGCUUGCAAGUUCUAACACCUGUGUAGUUUCACACUGAAACAUUAAUUUCCAUAAUUAGAUUUUUACAGAGUAAUUGAUUUUAGUUUGUUAUUAUUCCAAACUGAAAAUAAAUACUUCCAGAGAAAACCUCAAAAGAGCUAAAAGUUCUCAAUGCCCUCCACAUAGUCACAUUUUCAUUUGAGGGAAAAUUGUAGAUACAGUUAUGCAACACCUUUCUCUUCCUUUGGACUGUCUUGGCUCCUGAUCUCAGUCUAAAAAUACAGUUAUUUCAGUUUCUAAAUUUGAUUCUUGCUUUAAACUGAGUGCAUAUGAUUUAAACUUCAUUCAUGUUCCACCAACUUGUGUUUUCUCAAGCUAGGCAUCCUUCUGGUAUCACUGACAAGGAGAUACAAAUAUUCCAGGAGAGGGGGACUUUCACAUUUGGAAAUGGUUCAUUACAUUCCUCAUCACUGCCUCAUACCAUAUGACUCUUCAGGGCCUCCCAAUUCUCACAGAAUCACAGAAUAGUUUGGGUUGGAGGGGAACUUGAAGCUCAUUGAUUCAGGGGAUUUGUAUUUAUUCUCCUCAAUCAUCACAGAAUGGUUUGGGUUGGAAGGGCCCUUUAAGGUCACCCAGUUCCAAUCCCUCUGCCAUGGGCAGGGACACCUUCCACUAGACCAGGUUGCUCAAGCCCCAUCCAACGUAGCCUUGAACAAACACUUCCAGGGAUGGGACACAGCUUCUGUGGGCAACAACUAAUUGAAGGACAGUGAAAAUCACACUAAUCACAGCUAGGGCUUUCUUGCAUCCCAUCCUCUGAUUGCUCAGCCUGAUGCACCUCCCGCCUGGGAAGUCCUCCCACUGUUUUCCUCCCAUUCUCCUGUCCUUCCCCUCCCCUCCUGCUCCCCCCACUGCAGAGCUGCCACCUGACCUCUCCAGCCGGGGUCUAGCUGGGUGAGCUUUGCUCCCACUAUUCCCCUAACACCUGGAGGUUGGUGUCUGCAACACCAAAUUUGAAAUAGGAGAUUGCAGAACCGUAAUUACUUGAGCUGGAAGCUUCCAGCCCAGCUGGUUUGUCCUGUCAUUUAAAAAUCUACUUGUUUCCAAACACACAACCCUCUGGCAGGGGUCCAGGCAGAGCCGAGGAUGCUGAGCUGCUCACAGCAUCACAAGUGAGAUUUUCAGGGCUAAAAAAAGACAACAGUGAAAUUGAUACUACGUUUUAACCUAGGGGUCAUGAAAAGAUGAGACAAUAUAUUCACUCCACUUCAGAUAGCCUGAAGGAAUGUGACCUUUCCUAUCAUUUAUAACCCAGACGGCACAAAUGAGCACCAAAUCCAAUUACGGUGUAUUUUUAUUUACCUAAUCUGCCAGCAGAUGGCCUUUAAUUCUAAAUUUUCUUAAUUUUGAAAAUCUGUUCAGGCAGAACUGGCAGCACAACUCACGUUCCUCUCUCCACAGGGAAGGGUUUAAUGACAGCCCCAUGCAAGCUGCCACUUGGUUAUUGCCUUCCUGGGCCUCUGCUCAUCAGACCCUUUCCUUGUAAUUAGAUACAUAUAUUUUCUUUUUCUUCCUAUUGGAUUAUGAGGCAUUUAAGGCAGGUGUCAUCUCUCUGAGCUAUGAUUGUACAGUAUCUAGCAAAAGCAGAGGCUAACCCUUAGCUGGAGCUCCUAAUCACCACAGUAAUGAAAAUAUUUCCUUUUCAAAUGUAAAUUGAAGACUCAGUUCUCCGGUACCUGGAAUAACCAAAGGAUAAAUAUCUUAAGUAUAGCAAAAAUUGAGUUUAAAAGGCAGGUAAUUUAAGCUGAACACAUUAUGCAUUUAUAUUUUAUGUAUAAAAUUAAAUCAUUGAA